UACGGAGGGUGCAAGCGUUAUCCGGAUUCACUGGGUUUAAAGGGUGCGUAGGUGGGAAUGUAAGUCAGUGGUGAAAUCUCCGUGCUUAACAUGGAAACUGCCAUUGAUACUAUGUUUCUUGAAUUUUCUGGAGGUCAGCGGAAUAUGUCAUGUAGCGGUGAAAUGCUUAGAUAUGACAUAGAACACCAAUUGCGAAGGCAGCUGACUACAGGGAUAUUGACACUGAGGCACGAAAGCGUGGGGAGCAAACAGG
rnacentral:rRNA from 1 species